UGGGUUGUGGCUCAGUGGUAGAGCACUUGCUUAGCAUGUGUCAGGCACUGGGUUCGAUUCUCAGCACCACAU
rfam:Ictidomys tridecemlineatus contig017430, whole genome shotgun sequence.